rnacentral:rRNA from 1 species
AGCGAACGCUGGCGGCAGGCCUAACACAUGCAAGUCGAACGAAGUCUUCGGACUUAGUGGCGGACGGGUGAGUAACACGUGGGAACGUGCCUUUAGGUUCGGAAUAACUCAGGGAAACUUGUGCUAAUACCGAAUGUGCCCUUCGGGGGAAAGAUUUAUCGCCUUUAGAGCGGCCCGCGUCUGAUUAGCUGGUGGGUGGAGUAAGAGGUCACCAAGGCUACGAGCAGUAGCUGGUCUGAGAGGAGGACCAGCAACAUUGGGACUGGGAGACGGCCGAAACUCCUAUGGGAGGCAGCAGCGGGGAAUCUUGCGCAAUGCGCGAAAGCCUGACGCAGCCAUGCUGCGUGGAUGAUGAAGGUCUUAGGAUUGUAAAAUCCGUUAACCGGUGAAGAUAAUGACUGUAGCCGGAGAGGAAGCCCCGGCUAACUUCGUGCCAGCCGCCGCGGUAACAC